rnacentral:misc_RNA from 1 species
UUUCCGUAGGUGAACCUGCGGAGGGAUCAUUACUGAGUCUGACAACCCCGCGACCCCCUGUCCACACACGUCUAUUGUUUCUUGGUGAUUGCGUCAGCCCGCCUCACGGCCGCCCGGGGCCAUCUGCCCCCCGGCGCCCGCCAGCCGAUGACACCCUUGAACUCUGUCUGUGGUUUGCACACUGAGCGAAAACUAAAUAAGCUAAAACUUUCAACAACGGAUCUCCUUGUUCCGAGAUCGCAGAAGAACGGAGAAGCACACAAGAGAACACGUGUGAAC